rnacentral:tRNA from 1 species
AUUCAUUUAGUAUAAAAAGUAUAUUUAACUUCCAAUUAAAUGGUUUAAAUUUUUAAAAUGAAUA